UACAGAGGGUGCGAGCGUUAAUCGGAAUUACUGGGCGUAAAGCGUGCGUAGACGGUUAUGUAAGUCGGAUGUGAAAGCCUCGGGCUCAACCUGGGAAUUGCAUUCGAGACUGCAUAGCUAGGAUGCGGAAGAGGGAAGUGGAAUUUCCGGUGUAGCGGUGAAAUGCGUAGAUAUCGGAAGGAACAUCAGUGGCGAAAGCGACUUCCUGGUCCAGCAUCGACGUUCAGGCACGAAAGCGUGGGGAGCAAACAGG
rnacentral:rRNA from 1 species